rnacentral:rRNA from 1 species
UACAGAGGUCCCAAGCGUUGUUCGGAUUCACUGGGCGUAAAGGGUGCGUAGGCGGUCGGGUAAGUCUGAUGUGAAAUCUCACAGCUUAACUGUGAAACUGCAUUGGAUACUAUUCGGCUUGAGAGUUGGAGGGGGGACUGGAAUUCUUGGUGUAGCGGUGAAAUGCGUAGAUAUCUGGAGGAACACCGGUGGCGAAGGCGGCAUCCUGGACCGGUAUUGACGCUGAGGCGCGAAAGCCAGGGGAGCAAACGGG